ACAAAACCGACCCGGGUCGGAUCCGCGGGUUGGGUCCGACCCGGGCCGGCGACCAAAAUAUUAUUAUUUUAAUUAUUAUUAUUAAAACGACGCCGUGGCCGAGCGUUUGGGGGCGCUCGGCCCGGCUCGACGACCCGGGUUCCUAGCGGAACCCUACCCAGAUCCGACCCGACUUCCAACCCGACUCGCAGCCGCCCCUCUAAACCCUACCCGGUUCGCAGCCCGGGUCCGAUCCGAUGACCUGAGGCUGCGACCCGAAAAAAAUGCGAACCCUAGGGUUCUCGAUUCGCGGCGCCGAAGAGGGGAAGGCUGAGGUGCAGCGGCGGCGACGGCGACGGCGACGAGGGCAGCGACGCAGACGAUGACGACGAUUGGACUACAGGAGGGCUGAUGGCGACGGUGACGGCGCGAUACCUGCUUGGCGACGGCGCGACAAGAGCGAAGACCGCGACGGCGAGACCCACACAAAUCCCUUCCCCUCCUGCGCUUCUCUCUCUACUCUCCCCUCCGGCGAGGCUCAGAUCUGAGGCCGCGAACCCUCAGCCCCCCUCCCUGAAGUCUCUCAGUGGGGUGUCCAAGGGCUGCGACUCGAUCUGGCUCCGUCUCUCUCUCUCCGGGAUCUCUGUGCUCAGCCUCCACCCACUCGGAUCUCUCCCCCUCGUCUCCGGCCGCGAGUUCUCGGAUCUCGGCCUGCUCGUCCUCGGGCCCCCCUUCUGAAGUCUCUCAGUGGGAGGUUUCGAGGAUCUGCAGCCUUCGAUCCUUCUCGGCGUGUCCCUCAACGACAGAAACAAGGGCCUAUUUAUAGGCGAGGGGGCAGCCGGUCGACGGAGCUUCGAUCGCUGGUCCCCGUGCGCCAAGCAGCCUCCGUCGGCCGAACCGGCGUCCCAUCUGACGCCAGCUACCCCUCCCACGUGGGUCGCC
rnacentral:lncRNA from 1 species